UACAGAGGGGGCAAGCGUUGUUCGGAAUUACUGGGCGUAAAGGGCGCGUAGGCGGCCUUCUAAGUCGAACGUGAAAGCCCCGGGCUCAGCCCGGGAAGUGCGCUCGAAACUGCGCGGCUCGAGUGCCGGAGGGGAGAGUGGAAUUCCUGGUGUAGCGGUGAAAUGCGUAGAUAUCAGGAGGAAUACCGGUGGCGAAAGCGACUCUCUGGACGGCAACUGACGCUGAGGCACGAAAGCGUGGGGAGCAAACAGG
rnacentral:rRNA from 1 species